rnacentral:rRNA from 1 species
UNNUGCAGUCGACGCUUUGUGGUUCAACUGAUUUGAAGAGCUUGCUCAGAUAUGACGAUGGACAUUGCAAAGAGUGGCGAACGGGUGAGUAACACGUGGGAAACCUACCUCUUAGCAGGGGAUAACAUUUGGAAACAGAUGCUAAUACCGUAUAACAAUGACAACCGCAUGGUUGUUAUUUAAAAGAUGGUUCUGCUAUCACUAAGAGAUGGUCCCGCGGUGCAUUAGCUAGUUGGUAAGGUAAUGGCUUACCAAGGCGAUGAUGCAUAGCCGAGUUGAGAGACUGAUCGGCCACAAUGGGACUGAGACACGGCCCAUACUCCUACGGGAGGCAGCAGUAGGGAAUCUUCCACAAUGGGCGAAAGCCUGAUGGAGCAACGCCGCGUGUGUGAUGAAGGGUUUCGGCUCGUAAAACACUGUUGUAAGAGAAGAAUGACAUUGAGAGUAACUGUUCAAUGUGUGACGGUAUCUUACCAGAAAGGAACGGCUAAAUACGUGCCAGCAGNC